rnacentral:rRNA from 1 species
AGGGUGACAGCCCCGUACACAAAAAUGCACAUAUUGUGAGCUCGAUGAGUAGGGCGGGACACGUGGUAUCCUGUCUGAAUAUGGGGGGACCAUCCUCCAAGGCUAAAUACUCCUGACUGACCGAUAGUGAACCAGUACCGUGAGGGAAAGGCGAAAAGAACCCCGGCGAGGGGAGUGAAAAAGAACCUGAAACCGUGUACGUACAAGCAGUGGGAGCCUCUUAAUGGGGUGACUGCGUACCUUUUGUAUAAUGGGUCAGCGACUUAUAUUCUGUAGCAAGGUUAACCGAAUAGGGGAGCCGAAGGGAAACCGAGUCUUAACUGGGCGUUAAGUUGCAGGGUAUAGACCCGAAACCCGGUGAUCUAGCCAUGGGCAGGUUGAAGGUUGGGUAACACUAACUGGAGGACCGAACCGACUAAUGUUGAAAAAUUAGCGGAUGACUUGUGGCUGGGGGUGAAAGGCCAAUCAAACCGGGAGAUAGCUGGUUCUCCCCGAAAGCUAUUUAGGUAGCGCCUCGUGAAUUCAUCUCCGGGGGUAGAGCACUGUUUCGGCAAGGGGGUCAUCCCGACUUACCAACCCGAUGCAAACUGCGAAUACCGGAGAAUGUUAUCACGGGAGACACACGGCGGGUGCUAACGUCCGUCGUGAAGAGGGAAACAACCCAGACCGCCAGCUAAGGUCCCAAAGUCAUGGUUAAGUGGGAAACGAUGUGGGAAGGCCCAGACAGCCAGGAUGUUGGCUUAGAAGCAGCCAUCAUUUAAAGAAAGCGUAAUAGCUCACUGGUCGAGUCGGCCUGCGCGGAAGAUGUAACGGGGCUAAACCAUGCACCGAAGCUGCGGCAGCGACACUAUGUGUUGUUGGGUAGGGGAGCGUUCUGUAAGCCUGUGAAGGUGGCCUGUGAGGGUUGCUGGAGGUAUCAGAAGUGCGAAUGCUGACAUAAGUAACGAUAAAGCGGGUGAAAAGCCCGCUCGCCGGAAGACCAAGGGUUCCUGUCCAACGUUAAUCGGGGCAGGGUGAGUCGACCCCUAAGGCGAGGCCGAAAGGCGUAGUCGAUGGGAAACAGGUUAAUAUUCCUGUACUUGGUGUUACUGCGAAGGGGGGACGGAGAAGGCUAUGUUGGCCGGGCGACGGUUGUCCCGGUUUAAGCGUGUAGGCUGGUUUUCCAGGCAAAUCCGGAAAACC